rnacentral:rRNA from 1 species
AUUGAACGCUGGCGGCAGGCCUAACACAUGCAAGUCGAACGAGUGGCGGACGGGUGAGUAAUGUCUGGGAAACUGCCUGAUGGAGGGGGAUAACUACUGGAAACGGUAGCUAAUACCGCAUACCAUCAGAUGUGCCCAGAUGGGAUUAGCUAGUUGGUGGGGUAACGGCUCACAAAGGCGACGAUCCCUAGCUGGUCUGAGAGGAUGACCAGCCACACUGGAACUGAGCAACGGUCCAGACUCCUACGGGAGGAAGCAGUGGGGAAUAUUGGACAAUGGGCGCAAGCCUGAGGAAGCAAUGCCGCGUGGAGGAAGAAGGCCUUCGGGUUGUAAAGUACGUUAAGCGGGGAGGCGUUACCCGAAGAGGAAGCACCGGCUAACUCCGUGCCAGCAGCCGCGGUAAUUC